rfam:Bacteroides luti strain DSM 26991 genome assembly, contig: Ga0131163_132
GAGGGUAGGCCCCUCGUGACCGGCUUACAGGAGUUGGUUGCAAACCAGUGUAUGCUGCUUUGUUAAAGAGACGAGGUAGUGAGCGAUACAUUAAAAGUCGGCACAAGCCGGCAGGU